rnacentral:rRNA from 1 species
CACGUACCUACCGAAUGUAUUAUUGUAUAAAAUGGAUGAAUAUUAUAAUAAUAUUGAAGUGUAUUAAAAUGAAAUUUUAAAUUCAUUUUGGUAGUUGUGUAAUUUGAAUAUAUUGAAGUAUAUAAGUUAUUAUAUAUUGAAUAAUCAAAUGAGCAGAUCUUGGUGGUAGUAACAUAAUAAUUUGUAUUUAUAGAGAUUAGGGUUGUCAUUAUGAUGACGUGAGACGGUGUUAUAAUAAAACGAAUAAUAUUAAUAUUUUAUUAUCCUAUUUAUUAAGUGGUGACACAAACAUGGACUAUUAUUUACUUAAAUUAUAAUAUAAAUGAGUUAUAAUUUUUAUGGUGUGAUAGUUGUUAUAAGAUCAUCAUUUUAAUAAUAAUAUGUUAAAAAAGAAAUAAAUAAACCGUACCUAUACCGCAUCAGGUGUCUCUGUUUUAUAACAAAUAUAUUUUAAAAUAAUCUAAGUAAGGGAAUUCGGCAAAAUAGAUCUGUAACUUUGGGAUAAAGAUUGGCUCUAGCAUGCUAGAACUUUUUAUAUUAUGAGAGGAAUCUGACUGUUUAAUAAAAACAUAGCUUUAUGAUAAUGUAAAGUGAAUUCUGCCCAGUGUAUUUAUUAGUUAAAAUAAAAUAAGCAUAUAUAAACGGCGGGAGUAACUAUGACUCUCUUAAGGUAGCCAAAUGCCUUGUCAUUUAAUUGGUGACGCGCAUGAAUGGAGCAACGAGAUUCCUACUGUCCCUAUUUAGAGCUAUGUGAAGCAACGAGACAAGGGAACGGGCUUGUUAUUUAAUCAGCGGGGAAAGAAGACCCUGUUGAGCUUUACUCUAGUAUAUUUUAAUUUAUAUAUAUUAUAUUGUAGAGAGGUGGGAGAUGUAAUGUGAAACCACUAAUAUUAAUAUUAUAUAAAUUUAUUUUUAAUUAUAUGGGGAGUUUGGCUGGGGCGGUACAACUGUUAUAAGAAACACAGUUGUCCUAAGAUACAAUUAAUUAGGAUAGAAACCUAAUGUUUAAUAUAAGGGUAUAAGUGUGUCUGAUGUAUAAAACAAUAGUUUUAUAUGAUGGGAAACCAUGGCCUAAAGAUCCUCCAAUAAUAAUUUUAUUUGAUUGGAGGUGACAGAAAAGUUACCACAGGGAUAACUGGCUUGUAGCAAAUGAGCGAUCAUAGCGACUUUGCUUUUUGAUUCUUCGAUGUCGUCUCUUCUGAUCAUCGUAGUGUAUAUGUUACGAAGUGUUGGAUUGUUCACCCGUUAAUGAGGAACGUGAGAUGGGUUUAGACCGUCGUGAGACAGGUUAGUUUUACCCUACUGUUAAUAUUAUUAAGAAAAGUUAUAUAGUGCGAGAGGAACAAUAAGUGAUGACCACUGGUGUAGCGAUUAAUUAUUCAAUUAUGUUGCAAAACUACGUCAUGAAUAAUAAAUGCUGAAAGCCUCUUAAGCAUGAAGUUAAUCUUAAUGAUAAACAAUUGAGGAAAACUACCUCUUUGAAGAGUGGGACUGUAAGAAUGAAGGUGUAUACCGACAUUUUGAGGUUACCAUUUCGUUCUAUGUAAAAAUA